AGGAAUAUUGGUCAAUGGGAGAGAUCCUGAACCAGCCAAGCCGCGUGAGGGAAGACGGCCCUAUGGGUUGUAAACCUCUUUUGUCGGAGAACAAAACCCGGGACGUGUCCCGGACUGCGUGUAUCCGAAGAAAAAGCAUCGGCUAACUCCGUGCCAGCAGCCGCGGUAAUACGGAGGAUGCGAGCGUUAUCCGGAUUUAUUGGGUUUAAAGGGUGCGUAGGCGGUCCGUUAAGUCAGCGGUAAAAUUGCGGGGCUCAACCCCGUCGAGCCGUUGAAACUGGCAGACUUGAGUUGGCGAGAAGUACGCGGAAUGCGCGGUGUAGCGGUGAAAUGCAUAGAUAUCGCGCAGAACUCCGAUUGCGAAGGCAGCGUACCGGCGCCAGACUGACGCUGAGGCACGAAAGCGUGGGGAUCGAACAGGAUUAGAUACCCUGGUAGUCCACGCAGUAAACGAUGAAUGGUGGUUGUCCGGGUCGAAUGAGACCUGG
rnacentral:rRNA from 1 species